UACGAACCGUGCGAACGUUGUUCGGAAUCACUGGGCUUAAAGGGCGCGUAGGCGGGCAGUCAAGUCAGGGGUGAAAUCCCACGGCUCAACCGUGGAAGUGCCUUUGAUACUGGCUGUCUCGAGGGAGGUAGGGGCGUGCGGAACUUCCGGUGGAGCGGUGAAAUGCGUAGAUAUCGGAAGGAACGCCGGUGGCGAAAGCGGCGCGCUGGACCUCUUCUGACGCUGAGGCGCGAAAGCCAGGGGAGCAAACGGG
rnacentral:rRNA from 1 species